rnacentral:miRNA from 1 species
GACAUUACAACGGUUACACGG